rnacentral:rRNA from 1 species
UACGAAGGGGCUAGCGUUGCUCGGAAUCACUGGGCGUAAAGGGUGCGUAGGCGGGUCUUUAAGUCAGGGGUGAAAUCCUGGAGCUCAACUCCAGAACUGCCUUUGAUACUGAAGAUCUUGAGUUCGGGAGAGGUGAGUGGAACUGCGAGUGUAGAGGUGAAAUUCGUAGAUAUUCGCAAGAACACCAGUGGCGAAGGCGGCUCACUGGCCCGAUACUGACGCUGAGGCACGAAAGCGUGGGAAGCAAACAGGG